rnacentral:rRNA from 1 species
AUUCCAGCUCCAAAAGCGUAUAUUAAAGUUGUUGCGGUUAAAAAGCUCGUAGUUGGAUCUCAGAGAGGCGCACGCGGUUGGCCCACGCGGUCUUACUUCGUGCGUGUCUCACCGACCGCUGGUCGCUAGUGCUCUUAAUUGAGUGUUCGUCGACUGCGGCCACGUCUACUUUGAAAAAAUUAGAGUGUUCAAAGCAGGCGUCUUUCGCCCGCAUACCCCAGCAUGGAAUAAUGGAAUAGGAGGCUGGUUCUAUUUUGUUGGUUUUCGGAAUCUAGCCUAAUGGUUAAGAGGGAUGGCCGGGGGCAUUCGUAUUGUGGCGUUAGAGGUGAAAUUCUUAGAUCGCCGCAAGACGAACAAGUGCGAAAGCAUUUGCCAAGAAUGUUUUCAUCG